GAUGGGUGAGUAACACGUAGGUAAUCAGGCCUUAGGACAGUGGAGAACGUUGCUAGCGCGAUGCUAGAUACCUGAUGAAGCCACUGUCGAAUCAGAUGGUAGUAAAAGGCUGGCUUACAUGUAGCGCCUGAUGAUGAACCUGCGUCUCAUUAGCUAGUUGGUAGGGUAAUGGCCUACCAUUGUAACGAUUGGUUACCGGCCUGAGAGGGUGAGCGGACAAACUUGAGAUUGAGAUACGGUCCCUCACGUCCUACGGGGAGGCAGGAGUGCAGGAAUAUUGCGCAAUGUGCGAAAGGUUGACGCAGCGACGCCGUGUGAGGGAUGACGCGUAUAAGAGUGUAAACCUCUGUUAAGAGGGAAGAAUAAUGGCAAUUCGAACAGGGUUGUCAGAUGACGGUACCUCCAGAGGAAGCCCCGGUUAACUCCGUGCCAGCAGCCGCGGUAAGUACGGUGGGGGCUAGCGUAAGUCGGAAUUACUGCGCGUAAAGGGCGCGUAAGCCGGAUAGCACGUCAGUGGUGCCAACUUGAGGCUUAAC
rnacentral:rRNA from 1 species